UCCCAACUCUCUGUUUGUCUGAAAAAGAAAAGAAUCCGAAAGAUGCUUCGAUCCUCAUGCAGUAACCGAGUCUCGAGCGAGGUCUUCUUGGAGUCACCUGAUUCCCAAUCACUGAGUUCGAAUCAACAUGGUUCAGAGACGGUUCUCUUGGACAAACAACUACUUCCGAAAUAUAACCCCCUUUCACGCGCCGCCGAGAAAGAAAGGUCCCACCUUAGAUCUGCUGAGAACGCCGUUCACAUCAUUCCUUUCGUUCUCGUUUUUUGCGGUUUCAUCCUUUGGUUAUUCUCCAGCAUAGAAUCAAGGGUUUGAAGAUUGAUAUCAAAAUCAAGAGUACUUUUUGUGCAUGGGGCAACUUGAUUCAAAAAUUGAAGCUGUUAAGAGCUUCAAUUCAACAAACCAAGCGGCAUAUACAUAACCUGUGAGGUUGUCAAAGAAUGGAAUGUAGCUUGGGUUCUUUUCAAAUGGAUAAUUCAUUUGCUACUGAAAAAACAUUUUCUGUUUUUGUACAAUGCAGAUGAUUUCAUGCACUUUUCAAUGUUAAAUGUAUACAAGAUGAAAGUUAAUGUAUUUUCAAUUGAUGAGAAACAUCAAUUUGUUCAUUCUUGCUAUUUAUGGUCAUUGGUUUAAUAUUAACUUCAACAAUUUCCCAGCAAGUUUUCAUGCUAUUGGAUACUUGAAUCUUGAAUUGGUGCUAGAGUAUUGAUUUGCAGGUACGACGAUGAGUAGAGAUUCAACUAUUUCGGGUGGAGAAUCUUCUUGUGGCAGGUAACGGAACUCCAGGAAUCAUAUAAUAUGCUGCAUAUUUUCCAUUUCUAUAAUCUGCAAUGCGCUUUUCUUCACUGAAUCCGACUUGGUUGUUUGGUUAUAUCUGGACAAAUGCUUGACUAGGGACAAGUAACGUUUCUCAUUUUAUCAAAGAAAGCUCUUUAAUUUCAUGUUUCAUUAAUAAAUGAUGGAUAGAACAACUUCAAAUGGCAAUGAUAUAUAGUUUGUUUACUUUCUUGCUACUUAUGGUCUUUAAAUCUUUACAUUUUUAUGCUUUCAGAGGCUCACACUCAAAAUUUGUGUGUUCAAGCACUGGUCCAAGUCUAACUAGUUUAGGUAUGACAAUAUUGUUACGAAUAGAACAGACAAGUUGAUUAUCCCACUGCAACAGUGAUCCAACAAGAUUUGCCCGUACGGUUAACGGAAAGACCCGAGGCCAUCUUUCCUCUCCAUAUGCCCUGAGAGCACCUUCUACGGCUGUUGGUCCGGAUUUAAUUGCAUCAGCUAAUUUCCUGGUCAGUAUCACAGAAUCCUCUAAAGCACAACAAGCACCUUGCCCUAGAUUGGGAGUCAUCGGAUGCCAAGCAUCCCCGACCAGCACUACUUUGCCAGUUGAAGCGGGAGGGCUUAAACCCGGCCAUAACCAACGAUCAACAAGCGGGGUUUUACUGAUCGUCUCAUCUGGGCUGAGAUCAAUCAAUCUAAUUAACUCUUCAGGCCAGUUGUUUACGAGUUCCUUUGCUUGCUUCCUCAGCAAAGCUGGAUCAGUAAUCUUGGGACCUGCAACAAGACAUGUCAGAAGGAUCGUUAUAAGGAGACACCGGAACAUAUCCAGCACGCAAACCUCUUCCGUAGAUAUAAUUAACAUUUGCUGCAAAUGGCUGGCCAUCGGGAUAAACUCCAAGUCCACGGAAAGCACUAUAUCCUACAUACCUUGGCUCGGAGAAACCCAUCCACUUGGCUAUCGCAGAUCUAAUUCCAUCACAACCAAUAACAAUCUGUUGAAGAAACAUAUUCAGUAACCUGAUUUCUUUCAACACAACAACGUUGAAACUUAAGGUCUACUAACCUUUGCAAGCAACGUAGUCCCAUCGGUGGUAACUCGUUGGCAAGCGUCUCCAGUAGUAUUCUCCGCUCCACUGCACGAACUUCUUGGCUGCCGAAGUAAAAAAGGUUCUAAUAUUAGUUUGUCGAAACAAAGAAAACAAUUGUCUCCAAAGAAUGUUCAUUACGUUUGAUCUUCGUCUUUGAAUUUGAAGGAGCGUAACUCCCUUCCAUCUUCUGAGUUCACCACCAUCCUGCACAGCUGAUGCAAUUAACAAGUUCAGAAUAUGGUAAGCCAUAACUAAUUAGGUCUAAAAACGUAGGUUCCAAGUCCCCGAAGUUUGAUAAAUAUUAGGAGUUAAAUUUGUUUUUAUAAUUUAAUAUUUUGCAUAAGCAUAUCUUAUAAUAAUCAAAUUUCGAUGAAAAAUAUUAAAAUUGUUAAUAAUUUUAUUAUAAUUUUUAUUAUUAAAGUACCGAGAUUAAAGCUUUGAAACGCACUUUAGAAUGUUUGGUUUUUGUAUAAAUAUCCGUUAGAAUUAGCAAGAAGCAUGUGAAAUUGACAUAUAUACCCUUGAAUUUCAAGAAAUUGGCCCCUGAGAGUAUCUGCAACACCAAUGGCAUCCAAUACCCGCCACCCAUUCUUGAAAAGGGUAAGUGAGGUUCCACCAGUUCUAAGCGAUGCUGCUUGCUCAAGCACCACUGACCCAAUCCCUAGCCUGAUUAUGUGUAUAUAUAUGAUAUUAAUCUCUUAACAUGAAAACAAAUUAAAUGGCAAAAAUUUACAGACCUGCGAAGAGACACUGCAGUGGCGAGACCAGCAAUCCCAGCUCCGACGAUGACGAUAUCUUCUUUCCGAACACCGGCUGAAGCUUUUAUGUUGACGGAGGGGUUGAGUUUGGUUCUGGGUUGAGGUUGGAACCAUGAUGGUUUCUGUGAAAAUCUGAUACCAUGAGAAUUGUAGAAAGAAGGUCGUGGCAUAUGGGAAGUGAUCAUUGCCAUGGUGAUAUAGAGUGUAAUGAGUUUGGGAAGUUUUGUGAUUGUUUUUUGAGAUUGGAGAAUAAAAAAAACACACACACACACACACCAGAUUUUAAGUAUAGAAGUAAGUGGAGGAGAUGAAAAGGAUCUAGGUGGUUCAUGUUGAGCCAUGUUUUUGAUUAAAAAAUGAUACUUUGAUAUAGAAAAUUCUAUCCCCCUUGUUUGAUCCAAA